GAUAAACGCUGGCGGCGUGCCUAACACAUGCAAGUCGAACGCCCUUUUGCGCAAGUGAGAGGGAGUGGCGGACGGGUGAGUACCACGUGGGUACCUACCUUGAGGUGAGGAAUACCACCGAGAAAUCGGUGACAAGACCGCAUACGCUUGGCAACAAGCAAAGUCUCGCAAGAGACGCCACAAGAUGGGCCUGCGCCUGAUUAGCUAGUUGGUGAGGUAAUGGCNCACCAAGGCGACGAUCAGUAGCUGGUCUGAGAGGAUGAUCAGCCACACUGGGAUUGAGAACGGCCCAGACUCC
rnacentral:rRNA from 1 species